UGGGGAAUAUUGGACAAUGGGCGAAAGCCUGAUCCAGCCAUGCCGCGUGAGUGAUGAAGGCCUUAGGGUUGUAAAGCUCUUUUGCCAGGGAAGAUAAUGACGGUACCUGGAGAAUAAGCACCGGCUAACUUCGUGCCAGCAGCCGCGGUAAUACGAAGGGUGCUAGCGUUGUUCGGAAUUACUGGGCGUAAAGCGCGCGUAGGCGGCUCGUCAAGUCAGAGGUGAAAUCCCUGGGCUCAACCCAGGAACUGCCUUUGAAACUAGCGAGCUUGAGUAUCGGAGGGGAGUGCGGAAUUGCUAAUGUAGAGGUGAAAUUCGUAGAUAUUAGCAGGAACACCGGUGGCGAAGGCGGCACUCUGGACGAUAACUGACGCUGAGGCGCGAAAGCGUGGGGAUCAAACAGGAUUAGAUACCCGUGUAGUCC
rnacentral:rRNA from 1 species